rnacentral:ncRNA from 1 species
UAACCCCAGGUUAGGCGGGAUUACCCGUUGAGUUUAAGCAUAUCAAUAAGCAAAGGAAAAGAAACUUACAAGGAUUCCCUUAGUAACGGCGAGCAAACCGGGAACAUACCAGGCUUAGAAUCGGGCGGCUCCGUCGUCCGAAUUGUAGUUUGGAGAAGCGUCUUUAGCGGCGGACCGGGACCAAGUCCCCUGGAAGGGAGCACCACAGAGGGUGAGAGCCCCGUUGUACCCGAAUCCUAUCGCACCACGAGAUGAUGUCUACGAGUUGGGUUGUUUGGGAAUGCAACCCAAAUCGGGAGGUGAAUUCCUUCCAGGCUAAAUACGGGCGAGAGACCGCUAGAAAACAAGUACCACGAGGGAAAGAUGAAAAGGACUUUGAAAAGAGAGUGAAAAGUGCUUGAAAUUGUCGAGAGGGAAGCGGAUGGGGGCCGGCGAUGUGCCUCGGUCGAAUGUGGAACGGUGAUGAGCCGGUCCGCCGAUUCACUCGAGGCGUGGAUCAACGUGGAUUUGGGGGGGGGGGGGGGGAGCCCGGGCU